rnacentral:rRNA from 1 species
CCUACGGGAGGCAGCAGUGGGGAAUAUUGCACAAUGGGGGAAACCCUGAUGCAGCGACGCCGCGUGAGUGAAGAAGUAAUUCGUUAUGUAAAGCUCUAUCAGCAGGGAAGAAAAUGACGGUACCUGAGUAAGAAGCCCCGUCUAACUACGUGCCAGCAGCCGCGGUAAUACGUAGGGGGCAAGCGUUAUCCGGAUUUACUGGGUGUAAAGGGAGCGUAGACGGCAGUGCAAGUCUGGUGUGAAAGGCGGGGGCUCAACCCCCGGACUGCUGUGGAAACUGUACGGCUGGAGUACAGGAGAGGUAGGUGGAAUUCCUAGUGUAGCGGUGAAAUGCGUAGAUAUUAGGAAGAACCCCGGUGGCGAAGGCGGCUUACUGGACUGUAACUGACGUUGAGGCUCGAAAGCGUGGGGAGCGAACAGGAUUAGAUACCCUGGUAGUC